rnacentral:rRNA from 1 species
AUGAAGAUGGCGACUUGCAUUCGUAAGGUGGCCUCGGAGGAGUUUGGAGUGUCCAGGGGAAGGAGAAGCGAAGAUAAGGAUACCUGGUGGUGGAAUGAUGAUGUCCAGAAGGCGCUUAAAGAGAAGAAAGAUUGCUUCAGACGCCUAUACCUGGAUAGGAGUGCAGACAACAUAGAGAAGUACAAGAUGGCGAAGAAGGCCGCAAAGCGAGCUGUUGGUGAAGCAAGGGGUCGGGCAUAUGAGGACCUCUACCAACGGUUAGGCACGAAGGAAGGUGAAAGGGACAUCUAUAAGAUGGCUAAGAUCCGGGAGAGGAAGACGAGGGAUAUUGGCCAAGUCAAAUGCAUCAAGGACGGGGCAGGCCAACUCUUGGUGAAGGACGAAGAGAUUAAGCAUAGAUGGCGGGAGUACUUCGACAAGCUGUUCAAUGGGGAGAAUGAGAGUUCUACCAUUGAACUGAAUGACUCCUUUGAUGAGACCAGCAUGCGUUUUGUGCGGCGCAUCCAGGAGUCUGAGGUGAAGGAGGCUUUAAAAAGGAUGAAAGGAGGCAAGGCGAUGGGCCCUGAUUGUAUCCCCAUUGAGGUGUGGAAAGGUCUCGGGGACAUAGCGAUAGUAUGGCUAACCAAGCUUUUCAACCUCAUUUUUCGGGCAAACAAGAUGCCAGAAGAAUGGAGACGGAGUAUAUUAGUACCAAUCUUCAAGAACAAGGGGGAUGUUCAGAGUUGUACUAAUUACCGUGGAAUUAAGCUGAUGAGCCAUACAAUGAAGCUAUGGGAGAGAGUCAUUGAGCACCGCUUAAGAAGAAUGACAAGUGUGACCAAAAAUCAGUUUGGUUUCAUGCCUGGUAGGUCGACCAUGGAAGCCAUUUUCUUGGUACGACAACUUAUGGAGAGAUAUAGGGAGCAUAAGAAGGACUUACAUAUGGUGUUCAUUGACUUGGAGAAGGCCUAUGAUAAGAUACCGCGGAAUGUCAUGUGGUGGGCCUUGGAGAAACACAAAGUCCCAGCAAAGUACAUUACCCUCAUCAAGGACAUGUACAAUAAUGUUGUGACAAGUGUUCGAACAAGUGAUGUCGACACCGAUGACUUCCCGAUUAAGAUAGGACUGCAUUAG